rnacentral:rRNA from 1 species
AUUGAACGCUAGCGGGAUGCUUUACACAUGCAAGUCGAACGAGUGGCGGACGGGUGAGUAAUAUAUCGGAACGUGCCCAGUAGCGGGGGAUAACUACUCGAAAGAGUGGCUAAUAACGAAUACUAUUGGAGCGGCCGAUAUCGGAUUAGCUAGGUGUUGGGGUAAAGGCUCACCAAGGCAACGAUCCGUAGCUGGUUUGAGAGGACGACCACCCACCCUGGGACUGAGUCACGGCCCAGGCGCCUGCGCGAGCUAGCAGUGGGGAAUUUUGGACAAUGGGGGAAACCCUGAUCCAGCCAUCCCGCGUGUAUGAGAAGGCCUUCGGGUUGUAUAGUACUUUUGGCAUAGAAGCGGUAUCUGCAGAAUAAGCACCGGCUAACUACGUGCCAGCAGCCGCGGUAAUUC